rnacentral:lncRNA from 1 species
CAACACUUUUAGGCUUUGUUUGAGCCUCAUUUUUCUAAAAAUUCAUUUUUUCAAAAUUCAUUUCUAACCAUAUAUUUUUCAAUAAAAUAAUAUUACACGUAAAUUCAAAAUUUUUCUUAAUUUUUAAUAACAUAUUCUCUAUCAAUUUACUAUUUUAAAAUACAUUCUUUCCACAAAAUGGGGCUCAAACAAGGACCUAGUUUUGGGUUGUCAAGGUGAUUCAAGUUAAAUCACAAUAACUCCAAACCAUGUUUGAGUAUCCC